CUCGAGUGAAUAUGGAGCGGGCUUUACUGGAACGAUAGAGAGAAGAUAAGCACGGGUCCUGCGCCAGGAUGACUCGCAAAGUGAUGAGGCGUUCCUUAUCUCG